UUGAACGCUGGCGGCAGGCCUAACACAUGCAAGUCGCACGGUAACAGGAAGCAGCUUGCUGCUUCGCUGACGAGUGGCGGACGGGUGAGUAAUGUCUGGGAAACUGCCUGAUGGAGGGGGAUAACUACUGGAAACGGUAGCUAAUACCGCAUAACGUCGCAAGACCAAAGAGGGGGACCUUAGGGCCUCUUGCCAUCGGAUGUGCCCAGAUGGGAUUAGCUAGUAGGUGGGGUAACGGCUCACCUAGGCGACGAUCCCUAGCUGGUCUGAGAGGAUGACCAGCCACACUGGAACUGAGACACGGUCCAGACGCCUACGGGAGGCAGCAGUGGGGAAUAUUGCACAAUGGGCGCAAGCCUGAUGCAGCCAUGCCGCGUGUAUGAAGAAGGCCUUCGGGUUGUAAAGUACUUUCAGCGGGGAGGAAGGGAGUAAAGUUAAUACCUUUGCUCAUUGACGUUACCCGCAGAAGAAGCACCGGCUAACUCCGUG
rnacentral:rRNA from 1 species